rnacentral:rRNA from 1 species
UACGUAGGGUGCGAGCGUUAAUCGGAAUUACUGGGCGUAAAGCGUGCGCAGGCGGUUUUGUAAGCCAGGUGUGAAAUCCCCGGGCUCAACCUGGGAAUGGCAUUUGGGACUGCAAGGCUGGAGUGUGGCAGAGGAGACUGGAAUUCACGGUGUAGCAGUGAAAUGCGUAGAGAUCGUGAGGAAGACCAGUGGCGAAGGCGGGUCUCUGGACAGUUCCUGACACUGAGGCACGAAGGCCAGGGGAGCAAACGGG